rnacentral:rRNA from 1 species
CCUACGGGUGGCUGCAGUGAGGAAUAUUGGUCAAUGGGCGCAAGCCUGAACCAGCCAAGUAGCGUGGAGGAUGACUGCCCUAUGGGUUGUAAACUCCUUUUAUGCGGGGAUAAAAUGUUUCACGUGUGAGAUAUUGCAGGUACCGCAUGAAUAAGGACCGGCUAAUUCCGUGCCAGCAGCCGCGGUAAUACGGAAGGUCCGGGCGUUAUCCGGAUUUAUUGGGUUUAAAGGGAGCGCAGACUGCUUGUCAAGCGUGCAGUGAAACGCCGUGGCCCAACCACGGUCCUGCUGCGCGAACUGGCUUGCUUGAGUGGGCCGUAGGUACGCGGAAUUCGUGGUGUAGCGGUGAAAUGCUUAGAUAUCACGAGGAACUCCGAUUGCGAAGGCAGCGUACCAUAUCCCAACUGACGUUUAGGCUCGAAGGUGCGGGUAUCGAACAGGAUUAGAUACCCUUGUAGUC